AGUGAACGCUGGCGGUAGGCCUAACACAUGCAAGUCGAACGGCAGCACAGUAAGAGCUUGCUCUUACGGGUGGCGAGUGGCGGACGGGUGAGGAAUACAUCGGAAUCUACUUUUUCGUGGGGGAUAACGUAGGGAAACUUACGCUAAUACCGCAUACGACCUACGGGUGAAAGCAGGGGAUCUUCGGACCUUGCGCGAUUGACUGAGCCGAUGUCGGAUUAGCUAGUUGGCGGGGUAAAGGCCCACCAAGGCGACGAUCCGUAGCUGGUCUGAGAGGAUGAUCAGCCACACUGGAACUGAGACACGGUCCAGACUCCUACGGGAGGCAGCAGUGGGGAAUAUUGGACAAUGGGCGCAAGCCUGAUCCAGCCAUACCGCGUGGGUGAAGAAGGCCUUCGGGUUGUAAAGCCCUUUUGUUGGGAAAGAAAAGCAGCAGGUGAAUACCCCGCUGUUCUGACGGUACCCAAAGAAUAAGCAACGGCUAACUUCGUG
rnacentral:rRNA from 1 species